AGUGGGCGUGCAGGAGAAGCUGUAGGUCAGGAGGUAGAGUUGGCAGUGGGCGUGCAGGAGAAGCUGUAGGUCGGAGAGGUAGAGGUGGCAGUGGGCGUGCAGGAGAAGCUGUAGGUCAGGGGGUAGAGGUGGCAGUGGGCGUGCAGGAGAAGCUGUAGGUCAGAGUGGAUAGGUGGCAGUGGGCGUGCAGGAGAAGCUGUAGGUCAGGAGGUAGAGGUGGCAGUGGGCGUGCAGGAGAAGCUGUAGGUCAGGAGGUAGAGGUGGCAGUGGGCGUGCAGGAGAAGCUGUAGGUCAGGAGGUAGAGUUGGCAGUGGGCGUGCAGGAGAAGCUGUAGGUCGGAGAGGUAGAGGUGGCAGUGGGCGUGCAGGAGAAGCUGUAGGUCAGAGUGGAGAGGUGGCAGUGGGCGUGCAGGAGAAGCUGUAGGUCGGAGAGGGUGCAGAGUGGAGAACAGAUGAGCUGGAGUCACACCAUGCCCUAUACCCAGCCAGAGGCCGAAGUGAGCCUGUCACGGUAAUGCCACUGCCUGCUUGAUUCCCUCCCAUGCCUAGCCUGGGUUCUUCAUGAUCCCUGAGGCCCUCUUUGAUGUCAUCCCGCUGCCUCAAAACCUGUGUGUGCUGGUGGCUCCCUCUGCUUUCCUUCCAGAUGACUCCUUCGCUUCAGCUCAAAUGUCACCUUUGGCUGUUAAAAUCCUUUCCGGAGGAAGUUGUAAACAAUGCCUACCCCUCCUCCCGA
rnacentral:lncRNA from 1 species